rnacentral:rRNA from 1 species
CGACGAGUUUGAUCCUGGCUCAGAUUGAACGCUGGCGGAAUGCUUUACACAUGCAAGUCGAACGGUAGAGGGGGCAACCCCUUGAGAGUGGCGAACGGGUGAGUAAUGUAUCGGAACGUGCCCAGUCGUGGGGGAUAACGUAGUGAAAAUUACGCUAAUACCGCAUACGAUCUAUGGAUGAAAGCGGGGAUCGCAAGACCUCGCGCGACUGGAGCGGCCGAUAUCAGAUUAGGUAGUUGGUGGGUAAAGGCCCACCAAGCCGACGAUCUGUAGCUGGUCUGAGAGGACGACCAGCCACACUGGGACUGAGACACGGCCCAGACUCCUACGGGAGGCAGCAGUGGGGAAUUUGGACAAUGACGCAAGUCUGAUCCAGCCCAUUCCCGCGUGCAGGAU